UACGUAGGGAGCGAGCGUCGUCCGGAUUCAUUGGGCGUAAAGAGCUCGUAGGCGGCUUGGUAAGUCGGAUGUGAAACCUCCAGGCUCAACCUGGAGUCGCCAUCCGAUACUGCCAUGGCUAGAGUCCGGUAGGGGCCCACGGAAUUCCUGGUGUAGCGGUGAAAUGCGCAGAUAUCAGGAGGAACACCGAUGGCGAAGGCAGUGGGCUGGGCCGGCACUGACGCUGAGGAGCGAAAGCGUGGGGAGCGAACAGG
rnacentral:rRNA from 1 species